UGCAACUGCAGAAGUACACCCUGUGAGCUUUAGAUAAGCUUUCUUCACCUCCCAGCAGGAACAACAGGUUUUCCCUCUCUGAUUCUGGCUGUUGUUGUCCAAGAAUGUAAAUUUCCCAGACUCUGCUCUCUUGUCUGCAAAAGUAGAUUCUAUAGAUGGACAGUUGUGGAAGCCCACUACCCAAGGAAGCAACAUGAAGAUCUGAGGACCCUUGAGUCGCCCCAGGGUUCAAGACACACAAAAGUUUAAAGAAACAAGAUACCCUGAAUGAUAUUUCAAUUUACUAUGUUACUCUGAGUGUUUUGCUUGAAUAAAUCUGAAAUUCUGACAGUUUCAUUUCAUGGCAUUGCAAAACUGGGCUCUCGGGAGGCUAUAAAGGUUCCAAAACUCCCUAGGAGCACUUUUGACCUUGGCAAUGUGUGCUGAAAUUGGUCCACCUUCAUCUAGCCCUCAGCCAUGGAGAGAGGAGGGCUGCACCAACUAUGGGCCUCCUGCUGCUGCUUCAGCCCAGGGACCUAGCCAGUAGAACAACAAGCAGUGAUUUUCUGAUAUUAAAGCUCCACACACACCAGUCACAAG